rnacentral:rRNA from 1 species
UACGUAGAGUCCAAGCGUUAUCCGGAAUCACUGGGCGUAGAGCGUGCGUAGGUGGCGUGUUAAGUGUGAUGUUAAAUCGUGUGGCUCAACCAUAUCGAUGUGUCGCAUACUGGCAUGCUAGAGGACAGCAGAGGCAAGUGGAAUUUGUAGUGUAGCAGUGAAAUGCGUAGAUAUUACAAGGAACACCAAUGGCGAAGGCAGCUUGCUGGGCUACUCCUGACACUGAGGUACGAAAGCGUGGGGAGCGAACAGG